GACGUAGGGCGCGAGCGUUGUCCGGAUUUAUUGGGCGUAAAGAGCUCGUAGGCGGCUUGUCGCGUCGAAUGUGAAAUCUCAGGGCUCAACUCUGACAUUGCAUUCGAUACGGGCAGGCUCGAGUUCGGUAGGGGGAGACUGGAAUUCCUGGUGUAGCGGUGAAAAUGCGCAGAUAUCAGGAGGAACACCGGUGGCGAAGGCGGGUCUCUGGGCCGAUACUGACGCUGAGGAGCGAAAAGCGUGGGGGAGCGAACAGG
rnacentral:rRNA from 1 species